AGCUUGGGAGCUAGAAAUGGAGGCAGACCAUUUUUGCAUGAGGGGAUCCUUUAUCGCAUUGGUCAGGACUGUGGUGAAACAUAUGGACACCAAGUGCGAGUCUUCAAGGUGGAAGUUCUUACCAAGAAUGAUUAUAAAGAAGUUGAAGUCUCCUUGGGCUUUGAAGAAUCCAGAAAGGGACGGAAUGCUUGGAAUGGUGCUCGUUACCAUCAUCUUGAUGUGCAGCAGUUAAGUUCUGGCAAAUGGAUUGGGGUUAUGGAUGGGGACCGUGUACCUUCUGGAGACUUGGUCCGUCGGUUUGUUCUUGGCUGUGCUUCGCUUGCAGCAGUUACUGCAAUUGUUGUGGUAUUGGGUGUGCUGCUAGGAGCUGUGAAAUGUAUUAUCCCCCUCAAUUGGUGUGCUUACUACUCGGGGAAGAGGAGUGAUACUCUUUUGGUCUGGGAAAGGUCGAAUGCAUUUUCUUCAAAGGUAAGAAGGUUUUGUGGUCGCUUGAACAGAGCAGCAUCAUCUCUCCGUGUAAAAAUAAGGCCUAAUACUUGGGCUGGAAG
rnacentral:misc_RNA from 1 species